rnacentral:rRNA from 1 species
UUUGCACUGCUUCUAACUGUCUGUUCAUUCAGACAA